rnacentral:tRNA from 1 species
ACUUGGCUGGCUCAGUCGGUGGAGCAUGAGACUCUUGAUCUCGGGGUUGUGAGUUUGAGCCCCACAUUGGGUA